ensembl:lncRNA
CUGGAACCGCCCCCACAGACUGAUGAGUCCGGACCACAAUUUGGGAACCACAGCACGGCGGCAGGGGGGGCUUACCACUACACCGCUACCAUCGCGCGGAAAUAUUUCGGUGCGUCAGAGAACAGACGAUACAAGUUGCUCCGUUUUCCCUCCCCGCUACUUCCCGAUUGUUGUCUCCUCGUACAGUAGCUUCGCCGGCAGAGUGGAGCUGGAGUAGGAGGAGAAGGAGGAGGAGGCGAAGGAGAGAGAGGGGGGGGUCAGACUACUUCCUUUUGCGAGCCCAGCGACGUCUGUUCUCCGUUCAGUGAGCGCGUCUCUCUCUCUCUCCCUCUCUCUCCCCGUUUCAUCCCUUUCCUUUUUUUCUGUAUUUUUUUUUUUUACUUCCCCAUCCCUAUGUACAACCUCCGCGUUUCCAGGCGAGAUGACUGUCAGAACGAGCGCACGAGCGCAUCCCACAGGUGUGUCGCUUGCCAACUGAUCUGCAGCUACGAGACACGCACACCUGGAAACUAACCUACCAUGUGACUCGGCACCUGGGCGUGGAGAAAGUCCCGAAAUUCUAAGCAAAGACACUCUUUUGUUGAAGGAGUUGUUCGCGUCGUCUCUCAGCGGGAAUUGACAAUUCGUUUAACCAAGCAGUCCGGGUUUUGUUUUUCUUUUUUCUACUACGGAAUAGUGCCUUUCUGAAGCCCCCACCUCCUCACAGGAGAGGAGAGUAAAAUGUAAACUUGCUUACGGACGUCUUUCUCCUUUUUUGUAUCGUUCAACCAGGAGGGAGGGGGUAGAUUCUUCAGGAUUUGGAGUGUUCGCGUUUGUGCCACUGUCUUCGCUCUCUCUUUUCCCCCUUUCAAGAGCCCAGGCCCUUAAUGAAGCUGGGGGUCAGCGGUGGUGUGCGGCUAAUUGGCCAAGUUUGCCCGGGGCUCCGGCAGCCUGUGAUUGAAGUGUCCAGCAAGCACCGACUGUGCAGUCACCGCUGCACCCUACUCUGUUUUGCUUCAACAGCCAAGACGCUCGCUGCACCCCUGUCGGCCUCUCCCUAAGGAGUCAGGCUGCAGGCUGACAGGGGAUCCAGCUCACCUUCAGACAAGGCCACCAGACCUUGUCUCACCUUUUUAUUUCUUUUCCUCCCUCAAAAUCCCUCAGCACUUCUUUUUACACAC